CCGAAAACAAGAAAAAGAAUAAGGUUUUAAGACCUUGAACAUUCGGCCUUUGGUGUUGCUCAAUUAAGAUCAAGAAACCAAGAAAUCGGAUUUAGAUCGGGGGAAAUCGAAAGUAGUUGAGUAGUCGAUCAAUUAGUCGACGACAUCCGAGAUUUUGGUGACCGCUACGUGUUCGGGGAUCGUCAGCUAAGCUCGUCACACUAUCGAUAUUUCCUUUUGUAAUGGAUCCCGAUCGAACUGUAGCGGAUGAUGUCGAGAGUGUAGCACCUGCUCCCGUGCAAGAGACGGAGCCGGUUGAUUCUCGACCGAAUGCGAGUAACCAUGGUGAUGAGACUAUAUCAGGAUAGGAUCACCCGUCCGGGCUAGAUCCUUUUUACCGUCAAUU